UACGUAGGCAGCGAGCGUUGUUCGGAGUUACUGGGCGUAAAGGGUGUGUAGGCGGUUGUUUAAGUUUGGUGUGAAAUCUCCCGGCUCAACUGGGAGGGUGCGCCGAAUACUGAAUGACUUCGAGUGCGGGAGAGGAAAGUGGAAUUCCUGGUGUAGCGGUGAAAUGCGUAGAUAUCAGGAGGAACACCGGUGGUGUAAACGGCUUUCUGGACCGUAACUGACGCUGAGGAGCGAAAGCGUGGGGAGCGAACAGG
rnacentral:rRNA from 1 species